AUUCAUUGAGAUUAUGUGAGGAUUACUACGAAAUAAAUUUGAGUAGUAAUUAAGGAUUUAAUUCACCUCUGGGCAGAUAUGGUAUUGCUGGGUGGUUUCAAGAACAUCAUGGUUUCUACCCUCUGAAUGUAAGUGGAAUGCCGCCCAGGUUCGAAAAGAUCAGACAGACUUAGUGACUAGUAGCUUCCGUGUGCAACCACUAGCUAUAUGGGCUCUGGCUUAGUUGAGUAGGUUGUGGGAACCUUGCCUGGGCAAAG
rnacentral:lncRNA from 1 species